rnacentral:rRNA from 1 species
GUAGGGGCCAAGCGUUUAUCCGGAUUUAUUGGGCGUAAAGAGCUCGUAGGCGGCUUGGCAAGUCGGUCGUGAAAGUCCGAGGCUCAACCUCGGAAUGCCGGUCGAAACUGCCAUGGCUAGGGUUCGGUAGAGGAGAGUGGAAUUCUCGGUGUAGCGGUGAAAUGCGCAGAUAUCGAGAGGAACACCAGUAGCGAAGGCGGCUCUCUGGGCCGAUACCGACGCUGAGGAGCGAAAGCGUGGGGAGCAAACAGGGAUUAGAUACCCUGGUAGUCCACGCCGUAAACGGUGAUCACUAGGUGUGGCGGACUCAUUGACGUCUGCUGUGCCGGCGCUAACGCAUUAAGUGAUCCCGCCUGGGAGUACGGCCGCAAGGCUA